rnacentral:rRNA from 1 species
AGCGAACGCUGGCGGCAGGCUUAACACAUGCAAGUCGAGCGGGCCUUUCGGGGUCAGCGGCGGACGGGUGAGUAACGCGUGGGAACGUGCCCUCUGGUUCGGAAUAACUCAGGGAAACUUGAGCUAAUACCGGAUACGCCCUUUUGGGGAAAGGCUUGCUGCCGGAGGAUCGGCCCGCGUCUGAUUAGCUAGUUGGUGAGGUAACGGCUCACCAAGGCGACGAUCAGUAGCUGGUCUGAGAGGAUGAUCAGCCACACUGGGACUGAGACACGGCCCAGACUCCUACGGGAGGCAGCAGUGGGGAAUAUUGGACAAUGGGCGCAAGCAUGAUCCAGCCAUGCCGCGUGAGUGAUGAAGGCCUUAGGGUUGUAAAGCUCUUUUAUCCGGGACGAUAAUGACGGUACCGGAGGAAUAAGCCCCGGCUAACUUCGUG